rnacentral:lncRNA from 10 species
AUGCCGAGUGGUGGACUAAGACGUCGGGGGUGAUAUGGAAGGUAAGCACAGAUGGUAGAUGACACGGGAGGUGAGUCGCACCAGUGAUGAGAUUAAAUGGAAAGAACGUAUCCUGCUGUCAUCAAGGAUUGGAUGUGGACUAAAUACGAUCAUAUGUGUGAAGUUACAGGAAAAGCCUUGUGGAGCAGGAUUAGAAAGAACAGAA